rnacentral:pre_miRNA from 1 species
AUCAUACUCCCUCCGUCCGAAAAUACUUGUCAUCAAAAUGGAUAAAAAAGGAUGUAUCUAUAACUAAAAUACGUCUAGAUACAUCCCCUUUUAUUUAUUUUGAUGACAAGUAAUUCCGGACGGAGGGAGUACUGU